rnacentral:rRNA from 1 species
GAUGAACGCUGGCGGCGUGCCUAAUACAUGCAAGUCGAGCGAACGGACGAGAAGCUUGCUUCUCUGAUGUUAGCGGCGGACGGGUGAGUAACACGUGGAUAACCUACCUAUAAGACUGGGAUAACUUCGGGAAACCGGAGCUAAUACCGGAUAAUAUUUUGAACCGCAUGGUUCAAAAGUAAAAGACGGUCUUGCUGUCACUUAUAGAUGGAUCCGCGCUGCAUUAGCUAGUUGGUAAGGUAACGGCUUACCAAGGCAACGAUGCAUAUCCGACCUGAGAGGGUGAUCGGCCACACUGGAACUGAGACACGGUCCAGACUCCUACGGGAGGCAGCAGUAGGGAAUCUUCCGCAAUGGGCGAAAGCCUGACGGAGCAACGCCGCGUGAGUGAUGAAGGUCUUCGGAUCGUAAAACUCUGUUAUUAGGGAAGAACAUAUGUGUAAGUAACUGUGCACAUAUUGACGGUACCUAAUCAGAAAGCCACGGCUAACUACGUG